GGGCGAUUAGCUCAGCGGUAGAGCGCAUCCUUCACACGGAUGAGGUCACUGGUUCGAGACCAGUAUCGCCCA
rnacentral:tRNA from 1 species